AGUGAACGCUGGCGGCAUGCCUAAUACAUGCAAGUCGAGCGACAACAUGAGGAGAUUUUGCUCCUGACGUUAGCGACUGACGGGCGGGUAACAAGUGGAUCACCUUCUAAUUAUUCUGGGGUGAUUACGGAAAACAGGAGACAAUACUACCUCAUAUAAUCUACCGCAUGAAUCAAUAGUGAAUGACGGUUUUCCCGUCACUUAUAGCUGGAUCCGCGUCGGAUUAGCUAGUUGGUAAGGUAACGGCUCACCAAGGCAACGAUGCGUAGCCGAUCUGAGAGGAUGAUCAGCCACACUGGAACUGAGACACGGUCCAGACUCCUACGGGAGGCAGCAGUGGGGAAUCUUCCACAAUGGGCGAAAGCCUGAUGGAGCAACGCCGCGUGGGUGAAGAAGGUCUUCGGAUCGUAAAACUCUGUUAUUAGGAAAGAAAAGAAGUGGAUGAAUACAUCGACGUCCUGACGGUACCCAAACAGUAAGCCACGGCUAACUUCGUG
rnacentral:rRNA from 1 species